GGGUUGUGAGGUUAAGCGACUAAGCGUACACGGUGGAUGCCCUGGCAGUCAGAGGCGAUGAAGGGCGUGCUAAUCUGCGAUAAGCGCCGGUAAGGUGAUAUGAACCGUUAUAACCGGCGAUACCCGAAUGGGGAAACCCAGUGUGAUUCGUCACACUAUCAUUAACUGAAUCCAUAGGUUAAUGAGGCGAACCGGGGGAACUGAAACAUCUAAGUACCCCGAGGAAAAGAAAUCAACCGAGAUUCCCCCAGUAGCGGCGAGCGAACGGGGAGGAGCCCAGAGCCUGAAUCAGCAUGUGUGUUAGUGGAAGCGUCUGGAAAGGCGCGCGAUACAGGGUGACAGCCCCGUACACAAAAGCGCAUGUGCUGUGAGCUCGAUGAGUAGGGCGGGACACGUGGUAUCCUGUCUGAAUAUGGGGGGACCAUCCUCCAAGGCUAAAUACUCCUGACUGACCGAUAGUGAACCAGUACCGUGAGGGAAAGGCGAAAAGAACCCCGGCGAGGGGAGUGAAAAAGAACCUGAAACCGUGUACGUACAAGCAGUGGGAGCACAGGUUUACCUGUGUGACUGCGUACCUUUUGUAUAAUGGGUCAGCGACUUAUAUUCUGUAGCAAGGUUAACCGUAUAGGGGAGCCGGAGGGAAACCGAGUCUUAA
rnacentral:rRNA from 1 species